rnacentral:rRNA from 1 species
AGCAGCCGCGGUAAUUCCAGCUCCAAUAGCGUAUAUUAAAGUUGUUGCAGUUAAAAAGCUCGUAGUUGAAUUUUGGGUCUGGCCGGGCGGUCCGCCCUCUGGGUGAGCACUGUUCCGACGCCGGGCCUAUCCUUCUGGUGAGUCGGCAUGUCCUUUGUUGGGUGUGUCGGGGAACCAGGACCAUUACCUUGAAAAAUUAGAGUGUUCAAAGCAGGCGUAUGCUCGGAUACAUUAGCAUGGAAUAAUGAAAUAGGACGCGUGGUGCUAUUUUGUUGGUUUCUAGAACCGCCGUAAUGAUUAAUAGGGAUAGUUGGGGGCAUUAGUAUUCAAUUGUCAGAGGUGAAAUUCUUGGAUUUAUUGAAGACUAACUUCUGCGAAAGCAUUUGCCAAGGAUGUUUUCAUUAAUCAAGAACGAAAGUUAGGGGAUCGAAGACGAUCAGAUACCGUCGUAGUCUUAACCAUAAACUAUGCCGACUAGGAAUCGGGCGAUGUUAUUCUCAUGACUCG